rnacentral:rRNA from 1 species
CCUACGGGAGGCAGCAGUGAGGAAUAUUGGUCAAUGGGCGAGAGCCUGAACCAGCCAAGUCGCGUGAAGGAUGACGGCCCUACGGGUUGUAAACCUCUUUUGUCAGGGAGCAAUUGGGUCCACGUGUGGCCGUAGCGAGAGUACCUGAAGAAAACGCAUCGGCUAACUCCGUGCCAGCAGCCGCGGUAAUACGGAGGAUGCGAGCGUUAUCCGGAUUUAUUGGGUUUAAGGGGUGCGUAGGCGGAAUAUCAAGUCAGCGGUAAAAAUUCGGGGCUCAACCCCGUCGAGCCGUUGAAACUGGGGUUCUUGAGUGGGCGAGAGGUAUGCGGAAUGCGUGGUGUAGCGGUGAAAUGCAUAGAUAUCACGCAGAACUCCGAUUGCGAAGGCAGCAUACCGGCGCCCAACUGACGCUGAAGCACGAAAGCGUGGGUAUCGAACAGGAUUAGAUACCCCUGUAGUC